UUAUGACAGACAUUAAGUAGCUAUUCCUAUUCAGCGUGCGUACGAGGGAAGUACUGAAAAUACAACAGGUAGAGGCAAGCAUGUUUUAUUUUAAGUAAUUAAUUCUUUAAACACAUAAAUUAAAACCCAAUUAAUUGAGCUUCAAAAGCUGAUGAUGAUCUUAGUACAAGUACAAGCUAAAGUUAAUUACAAGCCAAUUUGAUGAUCAUUUUGCUCCCUUCCCUGCCACUCAUUUUGCUCCAUCUCGAACGAAUAUGUUUCUCUCGUUGAGCUGUUUUUCUCCCUUUAACCAAUAAUAUUUCAACGCAUAAAAACAAAUCAAUCGCCAUUUCUCAUCACAUCAGCUGAACUCAACACUUGAGACUCUUCUUCUUUUUCUUCUUUGUUUUCCCUCGCCGGAAUCUGUAUACAAGCCGCCGCCGGUGGUUCAACUAAUUUGAAGGAACCAAAUUUGGGAGUGAACUGAAGUGUAGAAGCUUGGGAAUUUGUGUCGAAAGUGAAUGAAAAGCUCGAAUUGCACGCCGAAUUGGAGCUAACUUCAAACUUCUCAAGAGCACUCGGACAAUUCUUCCUCCUCUUUGUCUGUCUAAACGCCUCGGCGUCGUUCUUCUCGGGCUUCUCUCCGCCGGUUUUGGUGGCGGAGAUCGGCGGAUCUUCGCCGGAAUCUGAGGUGUUGCCGGGAAUGGAGCACGUGACGACCAGGGUUUCUUCUGUCUUAACCUCCGCCAUCUUUGGUCAGGGCAGGGUCACGGGCAGAGGAAUAAAAAGGUCUACACACAGUUUGUGUGUGUAAACAAGAUUUUUAUAUAAGGUACGAUCAUAAUUACCAUCAAGUCCUUGGUUUAUUGUCCUGCUAAAAGUAAGAUACAUAAGAUAGGUUCGAGACCAAUUAAAAUUCACCGAUUGACCGAAUUCAGCAUGAACUAAAUAAGAAAGAAUCCUUCCAUACAUGCUUAAAAGAAUUUAAUUUCUCAACAAUUAGCCAAGUUCUACUUCCCUUGGUUUUAAAAUUAGAUUUCAAAUUGGAGAUAUGUUUUGAUUUUUUAAAUUAUUUUAUAAUUAAUAUAAUAAUUAUAAACUAACACGAAAUACUCAAAACUUAAUUGAUAAUUAAUCUUAUCAAUUUUUAACUUCAAAAAGUCAAAAUGUGCCACUUAAUAUUACUUGAAUAAAAUCACUAUUAACAGUCUGAAAUUUCCAUUAAACCUUUACAAAUAUCAUGUUCAAGAAACAUAAACUAUACACCUGUAUACAACUUUGAUAUAGAGAAGGGAAGAGGGGGAAGAAAUUACGGAAUUGAUCACAAGUAAGUGAGAUGGUGAAAAGGAUGGAGACUUGCCAAUCACUUUUCCAUCCAUGCUCCAAACUACUACUAAUCGACUUCCUAUGCGUAGUAAUUUUUGGCAAAAUAAUGUACACAUUUACUCGAUCGUACUAGAUACAUACAUGCUAUUAUGUUGUUUUUAAUAGUCCCAAACUUUUUCUUUAGAAUUCGCAAGAAGUUCCCAACCUUUGCUUCGAGAAUCCCAUGUUUUUUCUUCCGUCG
rnacentral:lncRNA from 1 species